UUAUUUUUUUAGCAAGCUUAAUUUAUAAAAAAAAUAGGCGUAGAGAAAUCAAGUUUUAAAAAGCUUAUAAAAAGUUAUAAAAAUAAGACCCGAAACUGAGUGAUCUAAUUAUGAACAGAUUGAAGAAUAGGUAAAACUAUUUGGAGGAUCGAACUCACGUAUGUGGCAAUAUACGGGGAUGAUUUGUGAUUAGGGGUGAAAGGCCAAUCAAACUCAGAGAUAGCUGG
rnacentral:ncRNA from 1 species